AUGUAAGUAUGAAAAAAUUCAAAUUAUGAAACUGCAAAUGGCUCGUUAACUCAAUCAUAGUUUGUUUGAUGGUAUCUACUAUCAGAUAACCAUAGUAAUUCUAGGGCUAAUAUGUGUAACAAAACCUAACUUUUAGAAUGCAUGCAUUUAUUAGAUAAAAGGUCGAUGCGAGAUCUGACCAUUGGUGGGAUGAUUCAUGAUAACUCAAUGGAUCGCAUGAUCAUCAUGUUGGCGAUGCAUCUUAGAAUGAAUCUCAGCAAUCCAUGUCAAGGUUCACAUUGGCCUUGACAUAGGCUACUACAAGCAAUAUGAUACUGUGGUG
rnacentral:ncRNA from 1 species